rnacentral:rRNA from 1 species
UGUACGCGGNAGAACUAACAGGAUCCCCAUAGUAAUGGCGAAUGAGCAGGGAUGAGCUCAGCAUGGAAAUUGGGGCCUGCGGCCUUGACUUGUAAGCUGGUGAGGUAUUGCCAACAGAGGCGCAGAUGUAAGUCUCUUGGAAAAGAGCAUCAAUGAGGGUGAGAGUCCUGCUUGCCAUGUGCAGCCCCCCCCCCUGUGCACGGUGUACCUACUAAGAGUCACGUUCCUCGGGAUUGGAGCGCAAAGUGGGUGGUAACUUUCAUCUGAAGCUAAAUAUUGGUUUGAGACCGAUAGGAAACAAAUACCAUGAGGGAAAGGUGAAAAGGACUUUGGAAAGAGAGUUAAAAGUGCCUGAAAUUGCUGAAUGGGAAGCGAAUGGAACCAGUGUUUCCUGGUGAGAUUGUCAUAUGCUAUAAUGAUUGGUUGCUGCUUCAGCGCAAGCGUUCUGGUAAGCAUUGAUCUGUAAGUGUGUGGUGUGUCUUGCCUUGAAUGUCAUCGUGGGCUUCUGCAUUAAGACAAUUCACAGUUCAGGGUAAUAUGUUCGUGAAGGUAUGAAUGUGCUGUGCUAUGUUUAUGCAUAAGCUUCCUCUUGCAUGUCUGGCUGCCGUGCUUUGCCCCCAACCUUGGGGAAUGAGCAUAUCCUUCUGCACAGAUGAUGACUAAAUGAUNAUCGCCG